CUGAAAGUCGGAAUUCUGGUUUCCCAAGCAAUGAAAUUCAAAACAAACACAAACUGCGAGUGUUUCAUGUGCGUAUCACAACAAUGUUGGUGGAUAUACAUAAAUAACAUAGUUAUGGCAUAAACCAAGGGGGAAAAUCCACCUUGGAAAACUGCUAACAGUGAUCAUUUCGGUCUCCCGUUGCUACCCAUAUAUCGAUCGCAAAUAUCGACUUCAAUGAUUUAGCUUGUCAUUUUUUAAAGAUAAAUGAAACAUAGUUUGAUGCGUAAAUCGAAUGAAAAGCUCGGAAAUAAAUACGCAUUUGUACAUGAAGCGGAUGUCGAUUUGUAUACCUGCAUUUUGAUGUGUACAUUUCUCGAAUUGCUUUAAUAUUCCUUUUCUUCACUGUUCUCCAUUUUUGUUCCUAUCUAUUAUAAAAAAAAACUCAGUAUACGUCAAGUACAUAUUUAAAACAUUCACGUUACAUGGCAGUCCAAUAUACGCAGUGGUUGGCUUCUCACCUAAGCGUCCAAUUCUGUAUAUUUUGUUGGUGGUCACCAUACUAAACAUGUGGCGUUUCUUGUGAGAACAAUGCUCCCCUCGCAUUUAAAGCAUUAACACAUCAAUACCAGAAGCUGGAAAUUCACGUUAUAAUUCAAAAAUUUUCCCGACGUUCGUGAAUCGUUCGAUAAUUACGUAGACAUUAUGUGAUAAAAUUCGGGUCAUUAUAUAAUGAACCGUCACUAGCGAAAAGAUUUGUUCAAGAAAAAUCGCACAUACGUUCAUACUCUACCGUUUCACAUUAGACAUGGGAAAUGGCGGUAACGGAGGGAGCGGUGGUGGUGGCGGCGGGGGUGGAGGAGGAUUUUUCGGCGGCGGAAAAGGAGGCGACGCUGGCAAGAAAGGCGGCGGUGGAGGAGGAGGUGGUGGCGGUCCCUUUGGAGGCAAAGGGGGCAAGGGAGCUUCCGGUCGCUCAAUACAACAGUGGUCGGCGGUGUAUACGUAUACUUAUUUGGACAUUGCAAACCACAGAUGAUGAAAAUCAAAAUUGAUACCUGAAAUGUGUGCUGUAGUAAAACAUGUGCAUAAACUUUAUUAUUUGUUAAUGUCUUCAUCAAACAAUAACAUAUUACAAGAGGGCCAAGUUUGUCAUAGUUCGAUCAUCUGAGAGGAGUUGGUUCAUUCAAUCUUUGUCAAAAAUAUGACCUAGUGAUCAAGUGUUUGAGCUAGAUGAGUCAGAUACGAUUAUUACUUCGAUUUGCAUCAAGAAAUUCAUUCUCUUAAAAUAAUCAAGUAUUAGGUGAA